AGAGGCCUGCGUUGUGCAGGAGGUCGGACUAGAUGAUCAGAAUGGUCCCUUCUGACCUUAGUAUCUAUGAAUCCUUUGUUGGAAGAUGCACCAGAUGUAUGAAAGUUUAUUAUAUUAAACUGAUACUACACCAAGACUUAGUUGUCCCAAUUCCUUUUUUAGGAGAUGCAAACUUUUGCUUCUACCAUGUACAUUGUGGCAGCCAAAUGGAAAGGCUGGGCACUUCUUCAGCCUAAAUGUAACUUUUAUUCUUUGUGUGUGUGGCUAGCUUAUAGCAGUGGAGCAUUAUUAUUAUUCUUUAACUUUUAAUGCCCUCUGUCCCACAUUCUCUUAAAAACCAAACCAUCCCAAUUGUCUUUAUUUUUAUUUUUGCACAAUUGAAAUGUUGUGGUGUUUUUUCUUAAUCUAAACAUUCCUCCGCAUUGUUGGCAGCUUCCAGAAUUGCUCCAAAGUAUGAAAAUGAACUCAGAUGCAAAAUGGACAAAUCUAAUUGAGUGAAGAACAAAAAGCUAAACAACACAAGUGGUGAAAAGUAAACUAGUUGAUUUUGUGUGUACGUGUACACAAAUAUACACACAGAGGAUAUUGUUAAUAAUCUAGGGCAAUAUUAGUAAUUUAGCUAAGGGAUUCUUUUAAAUAUUUUUUCCUCUUUUCAUUGCCGCUUUCUGCAGAAGUAUCAGCAAGUGUUAAAAAAGCACCGUAUUCAAAGUUUUGUAACUGAGACCACCUUAGCUGAACUCUGGCACUGUAGAUGUGUAGUCGGUUUGGCUGUUUCAAUCAUAGUAGUAAAAAUGCAAAAUGCGAGUAGAAGAUGCUUUAUUUACACUCUUAACUCCAAAUGGGCUUGUUUUAAUUUCUCUUAAAGGUGAUCAGUUCAUAUUGUGGCAUAAUUGCUUUCAGUUUUAAAAAUUAAACCCUUUUUAACUAAUGGAUUACUGAGAAAUGGGAGUAGUUUUUCUACUCCUUUCCUACCCUUAAUUACAAAUGUUGGGCCCAAUGCUGCAGACUUUAUACACGUGUAACUUCCUUUUGAAGGUCACUGGACUAUAAACCAAAUGUACACAGUGGCUGCAGUGUUGAAAAGGUAUUUAUUUGCACUUGUUAACUUUAGCGGUACAGUUUGCUCGACUCCAGUUUGCUCCACCACUUGUCAUGAUGCCAUCUCUCAGCUGCUGCAUCUAUAUCCUGAAUUAACACUGCCCUCACUGUAUAUUCUCUCUCUGAAAUUCAUGUGUGUAUAAAUAUACCUUAAACAUUUGCUGCCAUUAAUAUAAACUACACACAGGCUUUUUUUAGUGCAGGGAGCUAGGCAUGCCACUCCCAUGAAUAAUAAUGAGGAUUUGUACAUCUGCUUCAGUGCCCCAUGCACUGUACUGAACACUCACCCUGCAAUAUGCAGAAAAAGCAACACUUUUUCAUGGAAGAGAAGGAUCUAAAUAAAAGGGUUUUUUUAAAAAAAUGAUUACUGGCAGGGCAAGCAAACAAAACAAUUUGUGUUAGGGUUUUCUCCUCUUGCCUUCAUCCUUUUAGUAUACAAUGGAUAUUGCACAUAGUCUAAUUGGUUUCCUCUUUGGCAGUUUUCUUGUCUUUGUAACGCUGAGAAAAAUAAAAGCAGGGAGCAUUUGAUGCCAACUGUAUUUCCAGUCUCUGAGCUCACGCGCCAGCUGAAAGUCAAUGUCAUGCUGUGCUCUGAGUGGAUGUCUGUUAAAUUUCACGUACUCUACUACUCAUGGUUUUAAAGACAGUAGGACAGGGAACGAAAAGCCAUACUUACUUUGGGUUUGAUCCUGAGGGGUGCUGGUAAUGGACAUCUCCAGUGAUGACAGUAGGAGUUGCUGGUGCCCAGCACCACCUCUCUGGAUUAGGUCAGUUAUCAAGAGAGCAGGGGACCUUCCUAACCCUGGGGCAGUCUGCAUGUGGUCUUCGUCAUGGUUUGCUGCUCUUGGCUCACAAAGAGGGAGCCUGUUGGAAUUUGCUGCUUGCCCAGCUGCAAUGU